UACGCAGGAUCCCAUCCUGUCGUUUCCAUCAAGGUAUCCACGUUACUAAAGGCACGAACAACGCCGUUUUUUACCGAGUAGUCACGUGAAUUUUUUUUUUUUUAAUCUCGCCCGUUUCUUUUAAGGAACCAAACAUUUAGAUACUCGAGGAUACUUUGUUAAAAAUAACUCGACUGGAUGGAUUUUGGUGCCUGGCCGUUCUUAGUCGUUGGAGCGAUUUGCCUGGUUAAUUGCGAUAACGAACGAGACUCUAGCCUAUUGAAUAGGUGCGUGGCUCUCUUCGCCUUCCAUUCUUCUUAUAAGCACAAGCGGCUCCUAGCCGCACGAAACACAUCAAUAACAGGUCUGUGGUGCCCUUAGAUGUCCGGGGCCGCACGCGCGCUACACUGAAGGAAGCAGCGUGUUUUUAUCCCUGUCUGUUAAGACUGGGUAACUUGCGGAACCUCCUCCGUGAUUGCGAUAGGGGCUUGCAAUUGAUUAUCUUGAACGAAGAAUUCCCAGUAACCUCGAGUCAUAAGCUCGUGUCGGUUACGCCCCUGCCCUUUGCACACACCGCCCGUCUCUACUACCGAUUGAAUUAUUUAGUGAAAUCUUCGGACCGAUAGCCGGAGCGGCCUUUCGGUUGCGCCGGUGUGUUGGAAAGAUGACCAAACUUGAUCAUUUAGAGGAAGUAUA
rnacentral:ncRNA from 1 species